UCAGAAAAUUAAAGAAGACGAAUUCCACGCCAGAGCUGGAAAAGGCCUUUGACACAUCCAGAUCAGAUGGAGCCUCUCCAUCUCACAGCAGCAGAACCCCAAAGGCUCUGGAGGUGCACGACCCUGCACGCCUCAAAUGACCGUACGAUGGAGCUCUGCCUGGUUUCGCAGGAAGGAUCCAGCCCUUUCACCUGUGAAUCUCCCGCAGCAGCCAGUCAUGUGCCUGACCCCCAGAAAGCUGUCAGAAAUCACGGGCUGCUUAUCAUCAGCAGGAUCCGGGUCUAUGUUUCAUAGAUAUAAUUCCUAGGUGUGGCAUUUUCCUAUGUCGCCCCUUUCUGCCUGUGUGCCUCUCCUUUGCAGCCUGCUUUCCCCUGCCCACGGUGGAUCUGUUGUUGGUAAUCCUCCCACAUCCUGUGUAUACUCCGUCUCCCCACGUUCCCAGCCACCAUCCUCUAUGUCCUGGUCUCUGAGCCAUCAAACCCCAGCCCCUCUGAGACCCUCCCUGGGACAGAUGAGGACACUCUGCCAGGCCCCGAAGGACCAAGACGCAGCAUCGAGAAAGGGCCUUAGAGAUGCUCUGUCCAGGGAGAAUUCUGAAAGCCAGUACGUCCCCAGGUAUUUAAGCUAACAUCUAAGAGUCAUUGUUAUUUUUUAA